AGUGAACGCUGGCGGUAGGCCUAACACAUGCAAGUCGAACGGCAGCACAGUAAGAGCUUGCUCUUACGGGUGGCGAGUGGCGGACGGGUGAGGAAUACAUCGGAAUCUACUUUUUCGUGGGGGAUAACGUAGGGAAACUUACGCUAAUACCGCAUACGACCUACGGGUGAAAGCAGGGGAUCUUCGGACCUUGCGCGAUUGAAUGAGCCGAUGUCGGAUUAGCUAGUUGGCGGGGUAAAGGCCCACCAAGGCGACGAUCCGUAGCUGGUCUGAGAGGAUGAUCCGCCACGUUGGGACGGAGCGACGUUCUGGUGCACCACGGGAGGCAGCAGUGAGGAAUAGUGGACAACGGCCGCAAGCCGGCUCCGCCCAGGCCGGGGGGGUGAAAAGGGCUUUGGGUUUGAAAAGCCCUUUUGUUGGUAAAGAAAAGCAGCAUGUCAAUACCCCGCUGUUCGGCCGUUACGAAAAGAAUAACCCCGGGAUAACUUCGUGGAAGCGGCCGGGGUAAGAAGAGCCCACUUUUGACC
rnacentral:rRNA from 1 species